GUUUUAGUAAUUUAAUAUAAAAUAUUGAUUUUGUAAAUCAAAAAUAAGUCUUUUCUAAAAACU
rnacentral:tRNA from 1 species